UACGGAGGGGUCAAGCGUUGUUCGGAAUUACUGGGCGUAAAGGGCGCGUAGGCGGCCAGUUGUGUCGGGUGUGAAAGCCCCGGGCUCAACCUGGGAGGUGCACUUGAUACGGGCUGGCUGGAAUCCGGGAGAGGAUGGUGGAAUUCCCAGUGUAGAGGUGAAAUUCGUAGAUAUUGGGAAGAACGCCGAUGGCGAAGGCAGCCAUCUGGACCGGGAUUGACGCUGAGGCGCGAAAGCGUGGGGAGCAAACAGG
rnacentral:rRNA from 1 species